rnacentral:rRNA from 1 species
AAAAAGUGUAACAAGGUUUCCGUAGGUGAACCUGCGGAAGGAUCAUUG